AUUGAACGCUGGCGGCAUGCCUUACACAUGCAAGUCGAACGGCCGCGCGGGCUUCGGCCUGCUCGCGAGUGGCGAACGGGCGAGUAAUGCACCGGAACGUGCCCUGCCUAGGGGGCUAGGCUAGCUACAGGCGGCCGAAUCUCGUACACGACCUUAGGGUGAAACGGGUGGACCGAAAGUCCACGCCCUUUUUGCUGGCACUUUGACGGAUUAGCUAGUUGGUGUGGUAAAGGCUUACCAAGGCGACGAUCCAUAGCAGCUCUGAGAAGACGACCGGCCACACUGGGACUGAGACACGGCCCAGACUCCUACGGGAGGCAGCAGUAGGGAAUUUUGGGCAAUGGGGGAAAGCCUGAUGCAGCCAUGCCGCGUGAGUGAAGAAGGCCUUCGGGUUGUAAACCGCUUUUAUUCGGGAAGAACUCCUCUGGGCUAAUACCCCGGGGGGAUGACGGUACCGGAAGAGUAAGCACCGGCUAACUACGUG
rnacentral:rRNA from 1 species